AUGCAUGUCUAAGUGCAACCCCCAGGACGGGUAAACCGCGAAUGGCUCAUUAAAUCAGUCGAGGUUCCUUAGAUGACACGAUCGCCUACUCGGAUAACUGUGGCAAUUCCAGAGCUAAUACGUGCAUUCAAGCCCCGACCCCCGCGAGGGGGAAGGGGCGCUUUUAUUAGUUCAAAACCAGUGGCGCCUUCUGCGUUCGCGUGGUCGGCGCCGCCCUCCCACUGGUGACUCUGGAUAACUUUGAGCUGAUCGCAUGGCACACGUACCUGCGACGCAUCUUUCAAAUGUCUGCUCUAUCAAAUGUCGACGGUACGUGACAUGCCUACCGUGUUGGCGACGGGUAACGGAGAAUCAGGGUUCGAUUCCGGAGAGGGAGCACGAGAAACGGCUACCACA
rnacentral:rRNA from 3 species